GGGGAAUUUUGGACAAUGGGCGCAAGCCUGAUCCAGCCAUGCCGCGUGCGGGACGAAGGCCUUCGGGUUGUAAACCGCUUUCAGCCGGAAAGAAAUCGCUGUUUUUAAUACAGGCAGUGGAUGACGGUACCGGAAGAAGAAGCACCGGCUAACUACGUGCCAGCAGCCGCGGUAAUACGUAGGGUGCGAGCGUUAAUCGGAAUUACUGGGCGUAAAGCGUGCGCAGGCGGUUCUGUAAGCCAGACGUGAAAUCCCCGGGCUUAACCUGGGAACUGCGUUUGGAACUGCAAGACUAGAGUGUGUCAGAGGGAGGUGGAAUUCCACGUGUAGCAGUGAAAUGCGUAGAUAUGUGGAGGAACACCGAUGGCGAAGGCAGCCUCCUGGGAUAACACUGACGCUCAUGCACGAAAGCGUGGGGAGCAAAC
rnacentral:rRNA from 1 species